ACCUCUCUCUCUCAUGGUGGCUUUGAAAAUCCACAUUUUGUAUUUAACAUCAGGGUCAACAUCAGGUGACCCAUUAGGGUCACCCAGUCUUAUUUUUCCUUUCAUGGUUUUCAAGCAAUGACGUGGAAUCUGGGCACUGACUUCAUGAAGGGGCAGCAUGGUAGAGAGGAAAGCCCUGACAUCAACCUGCCUGGGCGGCUUCUGCUGACAUCCAUGAAUGUCCGUUUUGACCAAGGCUGACCAGUGAAGGCCCAGGGCAGGUCAGUGUGGCGCAGGCGGGGUUCUGGUGACACCCACUCCCUCCUCCCAUGGCCACCGCUGCCUCGAACACCAGAUCCUCGUUUCCCUGGCGUCUGAGAUGAUUCCAGCAACAGCGACUGGGAGGUGCUGUUUUGAGGAUGAGAGAAUCCAGCAAACCUAGUUCAUGGCGGGAAGCUCUUAAUGACUGUUCUCUGGCGCGCUGACCAACGUGGUUGCUAGUCACAUGUUUCUACAUAAAAUAAAUUAAUAGAAAAUUGAGUUUCUCUGCAGCCCAGCCCCAUUCCAGGUGGUCAGUGGCCACCUACGGCUACCAAGUUGGAUAGUGCAGAUAUAGAACAUUUCCAUCAUCGCAGAAUGUUCCACUGGACAGCACCGGUCUGUACCAUUAACUUUGAAUCUACACAACCGCCAGAACUUAGGGCUGACCAGAAUGAUUCCCUUUGAGGUGGGAGCGCUCCCCAGAUGUUUACCUGUGGAGGUGAGAGUCAGGUGAGGCCAUUCUUGGAAGGGUGUCUUUUGUUCCCCAGAGAUAGAAAGGGGUGAUGUUUGUUUUCCACAUGAAGGGAGCUUAUCAAGGACCGGCUAUUUUAGCCCGGGAAAGGUGGAAAGGUGAGGCCGAGGAAACCAUUCAGAGAGGGCCGGGUUCUUUCCAUGGUGCCCUUAGCCAGGGGAGCACAGAAGGGGCGGAGGCGGAUUCCGUCUGGAGUCAGCAGAGGAAGCAGCCGCUGGAGGUAGAGUUCAGAAAGGACAACUAAUCUGUUUUCCAAACAGAUUUUGGUAAAUAACUGACAGGAGAUGGGCUGCUUCUCUGUAAGUAUUAACCCAAAUAAUGGGGUUUAAUCAUUAAACCUUCUAGGUGGCGGCUCGCUUGUUUCUCUGAUAUUCUAUUCCAGGUCACAGAAUGGCUAAGGCGGCUUUAAGUGGAGGGCAGAGUUUGUUUUUUCUUUUUUCUUUCUUUCUCCCCCCCCCCCCCCCACCUUUCUCUGUUUGCCUUUUAUUUUCCACGCUGAAAGAACGUUAUGGCUUCUUUCUCCUGGAGACUACCUGUUCAAGUUGAACACUGUGGAACAGAUGUUGGGGAUAAUUUGAUCUGAUAUCCUGCCUUUUCAUUGCUUCUCUUAAAUUCAAGAGUGUGAGCUGGCUGGUGAUGCAUGGGGUUGAGUUCUGGUCACAAAACAAAGCCUCAAGCUAUUCGAUCAGAACAGGAUGCACUUAGUUCUAGAUUACACAUCUUGCCAAUGGAACCACCCAUCUUGGGUAAAUGUUAAAGGAUUGAAAGCCCAUGCAGUGGAUGAAGCCUACAGCCACUACAGCAUUCAAAACCUUUCAAAGAGGUCUUCCAGUACUAUGUUAAGUAACAGUGGUGAGAGCGGACAUCCAUAUCUUCUUCUUGACCAUGGAGGAAAAGAUCUGUUUUUCCCACUGAGGAUGAUAUUGGCUGUGGGUCUUUCAUAUAUGGCCUUUAUGAUUUUAAGAUAUCUACAGAAUUUCCUACAUCUUAUCCUCAGCAUAACCAAAUGGAUGUCAUUCUGCUUUGUAGGUAAAGAAUCCUCCAAUAAAUCUUCUGCUGGUGAGCUAUAGGCAGUAAUAAGUGCAUCACUCCUCCGCUUUUACUGGUAAAGCAAUGUGUUGAUUUAUUCAAAGCUGUUUUCAUAUUGAAGAUGUUUCUUUUCACACACUAGGUGGUAAAGGACUUCAUGUAUUAGUUGGUGUUAGAGAUCAGCACAUAUUAGUUAGUGCUCAAGCAGAGGUGAGCUUGCACCAGCCAUCAGAGACUGUAUGGAGACAGUUCUGGUUGUUAACUUGUUGGGGGUCUUCUGGCAUCCAGUGGGUUGAGGCCAAGGACAUUGCUAAACAUCCUACGAUACACGAACAGGCCCCCCACAAUGUAACAAGUGACAUAUUUUUUUGAGACACAUAAAAUUUAUGGGGAAUAAACAAUCCGUGGAAAAUUACAACUUAAGAAUUGACAUCGAAGGUGUCUUUAUCUUUCUACUUAAUACCAUGGUAUGAAUUUUAUUUCAAAUAGUGUUUUGUGUCCCUUAGGAAUACAUGACAGUUUUCUAACAUUUUAAGUUCAUUCCAAGGUAUUUUAGUUUAUUAGUUUCCAUUAUAAGUAGGGUUCUUUCUUCCAUUCUAUCUUGUGAUUUAAAUAUGCCAAAGGAAUUGAUAUCUAUGAAUUAGUAUGGUACUCCACUAAUGUUUCUCUCAUUUUUUUAAACAACCUAACAAAAUUCUUCUUCUUUUUUUUUUUUUUUUAAGAUUUUUAUGUAUUUAAGAGAGAGAAGGGGAGAGAAUGAGAAGGGGGAGGGUCAGAGGGAGAUGCAGACUCCCUGCCGAGCAAUGCCGAACACGAUCCUGGGACUCCAGGAUCAUGACCUGAGCCAAGGGCAGUUGCUUAAUCAACUGAGCCACCCAGGCACCCCAAUAUUUCGCUUAUUUCUUUUAUCUUCUUUUGUCUACUGACUACUACCAGAAGUUAGCCAAUUUAGUAUUUAAUAUGCUAAUUAAUUAGUAGCUAUCCUUUCCAUACUAAUCAUACUCGUUAUUUCUGAACCAUGAUUGGUCAGUCUACUUCACCAAUUUAGAUAAUUCUCAUUUCAUUUGCUUUAUUAAAAAAUUUUACAAAAAUGGGGUGAAUGGGUGGCUUAGUCAGUUAAGCAUCUGCCUUCGGCUCAGGUCAUAAUCUCAGGGUCCUGGGAUGGAGCCCCACAUCAGGCUCUCUGCUUGGUGGGGAGCCUGCUUCUCCCUCUCCUCUGCCUGCCACUCCCCCUGGUGAUGCUGUAUGUCAAAUAAAUAAAAUAUUUUAAAAAAAUUUUACAAAAAAUACAUUAUGAAUUUUGUCAAUACAUUUUAGGAAUGUAUGAAAAUGAAAAUACGAGCU